CAGGAAGGAGGAGGCAGCUAGAGAGGCCUCCACUGUUCUCUGCAGCAGAAGACCCCUUGCUGCCAGUGCCAAGCCUGCCCAAACCUAUAUAAGAAACCAACACAAUAAAGGCUACGAAGAACACAAGCAGCCCUACCAGACAGGAAAUCUUGGCCUUGAGGUGUGCAGGUUUGAAUCCUUGAGCAACCCACCAAUGGUUUCCAUCUGCUCAUGAGCAGC